UCCCAGACUCCUACGGGAGGCAGCAGUGGGGGAUAUUGCACAAUGGGGGAAACCCUGAUGCAGCGACGCCGCGUGAGUGAAGAAGUAAUUCGUUACGUAAAGCUCUAUCAGCAGGGAAGAAAAUGACGGUACCUGACUAAGAAGCCCCGGCUAACUACGUGCCAGCAGCCGCGGUAAUACGUAGGGGGCGAGCGUUAUCCGGAUUCACUGGGUGUAAAGGGAGCGUAGACGGCCAAGCAAGCCAGGGGUGAAAGCCCGGGGCCCAACCCCGGGACUGCCCUUGGAACUGCUUGGCUGGAGUGCGGGAGGGGCAGGCGGAAUUCCUAGUGUAGCGGUGAAAUGCGUAGAUAUUAGGAGGAACACCAGUGGCGAGGGCGGCCUGCUGGACGAUGACUGACGUUGAGGCUCGAAAGCGUGGGGAGCAAACAGGAUUAGAUACCCCCGUAC
rnacentral:rRNA from 1 species